rnacentral:lncRNA from 1 species
CGUACUGAACCCUUAUCAGUAGAAGUUCAUCCGGAGUCAGGGAGCAAGGAAUGGCACUCGACGCAAAAAUUGGGUGAAGCCCGAUCCCAGAUGUGGGUUCAUCUACAGAAUGGGGGUCCUGGGGGGCUGAGGCGGAAGAACUCCCGAAACCGCUAGAGGCAGAGAUGCCGGAGGAUAUUUCGAAUGACUUCAAAUGAAAGCCCUAAAGAUCCCAG